UACGGAGGGUGCAAGCGUUGUCCGGAAUCACUGGGCGUAAAGGGCGCGUAGGCGGCUCAUCAAGGCUGUGGUGAAAGUCCGGGGCUCAACCUCGGAUCGGCCGUGGCGACUCGUGGGCUGGAGCACUGUAGAGGCGGGUGGAAUUCCGGGUGUAGCGGUGGAAUGCGUAGAGAUCCGGAAGAACACCAGUGGCGAAGGCGGCCCGCUGGGCAGUGGCUGACGCUGAGGCGCGACAGCGUGGGGAGCAAACAGG
rnacentral:rRNA from 1 species